rnacentral:rRNA from 1 species
AUCGAACGCUGGCGGCAGGCUUAACACAUGCAAGUCGAGCGAGCGGCGGACGGGUGAGUAAUGUCUGGGAAACUGCCUGAUGGAGGGGGAUAACUACUGGAAACGGUAGCUAAUACCGCAUACCAUCAGCUGUGCCCCUAUGGGAUUAGCUGGUAGGUGGGGUGAUGGCGCACCUGGGCGACGAUCCCUAGCUGGUCUGAGAGGCUGCCCAGACACCCUGGAACGGAGACACGGGCCAGGCUCCUACGGGAGGCAGCAGUGGGGAAGAUUGCACAAUGGGCGCAAGCCUGAUGCAGGCAUGCCGCGUGUGUGAAGAAGGCCUUCGGGUUGUAAAGCACUUUCAGCGAGGAGGCGUUACUCGCAGAAGAAGCACCGGCUAACUCCGUGCCAGCAGCCGCGGUAAUAC